CCUAGAGAGACUCACUGGACUGCUUUAGCAGUUGACGCAGGGGUGCCUUAGCAUUGGAGAGGCUGGGUGCAAACUUGGCUAAGUAGUUGACUAUGCCAAGCACUGUUUCCAGCUCUGCACGGUUCUUUGGUGGCUCCAUUUCUUUUAUGGCUAAGAUCUUCUGUGGAUCCUUGAUUCCAGUCGCUGACCUCUGUAACUUCGACUGUGUUCUUCUCGGUGUUGAGCCGGACUCCUCUCUCGCGGGACCUUUGCAGCAUCGCGCUGAGGUUUCGGUCGUGCUCCUCUUUGGUUCGACCGUAGACAAGGAUGUCGUCCACAACUCCGCCGAGGUCUUCGUACACUUCGUCAAUCUUUCGCUGAAACUCGUCUUGGGCUGCGAUAAUCUCAAAAGGCAGGCAACGGAACCUGUAGCGUCCAAACGGUGUGUUGAAUGUUGUGAGCUUAGAUGACUCUUCUGUGAGCUUGUUAGCCCAGUAGCCUGAUCUAGCGUCCAUGACACUGAAGUAGUGUGCUCCCGCUAGCUUGUGUGUGAUGCCAUCUAGUGACAGUAAAGGAUCACGGGGGCGUUUGAUAGCCUUGUUCAAGUCUCUUGGGUCGAGACAUACUCGGAGCUUGCCUAUGCGAGGUUUCUCCACCACCACUAACGCGUUCACCCAGUCAGUCGGUUCUGUAACCUUGGUGACUAUGUCACAUUGCUCCAUGCUCUCCAACUCUUUCUUCAGGCGGGCACGGAGAGCAAGGGGAAUCUUUCUCGUUGGGUAGACCACAGGGGUUGCGUCUGGGUCAAGGUGAAUGGUACAUUCUCCUGGGAAUAAUCCUAUUCCUGUAAAAACAUAAGCAAACUCCUCCAGUGAAUUGUCUCUCUACUGGUGCUAUCACUGAUAAAACUAGCUUGAUGAGGUCCAUGUCUAAGCAUGCUUUAAGACCUAGCACUGCAGGUGCUCUAGUGUCAACAACAUAAAAGUCCAACAUCAUGUCACUUUCCUUGUAUUUGCAUUUGAAAGUGCAUGUGCCUUUUACUGGGAGCUGUUCACCAUCAUAACCAGUCAGUCUGCGCGUGGUAGGCUGUAGCUCGUACUCAGAUGUCAAGCUGCGGUACUUAUUCAGAGGAAUAAUGUUUACUUGUGCACCAGUGUCUAGUUUUCAACAUUAGCUUUGUACCUUGUGUUCCUAUCUCAAUGUCAGCAAAGGCUUGCUCUGUCUCUGAUAUUUGACUUUUCUGUGUCACUGAAUCAAUAAACAGUUCAGCAGCGUUUGACUCUUUGAUUGACAUUUCAUCUUCACUCACUGUGUACUUUUUUUCCACGGUAAGCUCUGCACACUUUUGCAAAGUGAUUCCAUUUUCCACAUUUAUCACACUGUUUGCCUUUAGCUGGGCAAUUUCCUUGUUUGCCAUGUACUUUGUAUCUACAUGUUUUGAGUCUGUCGCUCUGUUUUGGAGUUAUGUCUCUCUCCGUUCUAAAACACUCUCUGUGCACCUGAGGUGUGCUUUGAUGUCUGCCUGACUGCACUGCUUGUUCACGUGAUGCGCUCGUGCUGCCCGCGCGAAAUGGUUUUCAUCUGAGCCUGUGCUAGCUCGUGAGAUCUGGCUAUGUCGAUAGCUUUGUCCAGCGUUACCUCAGACCCAACAUUCAAAAGUUUCUCUCUCACUCGCGGUGUGUGUAUUCCAACUACAAUAUGGUCCCUGACCAUCUCAUCCUUGUUUGCAUAAUCACAGUCUUUCACAAGCAGACGCAGCUCUGUCACAAACUGUUCAAAAGACUCGCUAGCUCCCUGUUUUUCCUCUUCUCCCGUGAACCUUAGCUCCACAUGCUGUUUGUACUUACGCCAUGCAUCGGGUAAGUUUGUAGACUCCCAGUCCAUUCGAGCUGAAGGAACUCCAGAAAAAUCCAUCUUGUAAGGCCUUUUAUUCUGACACCAUGUCUUGUUUUGCACACAAUAAUACAAUGCCGUGGGUGUGGAGUCAGACGCUGGAAACAGAGAGUGCAAUGCUGUGCUCUUUAAUGCACAAACGCAACACAGGGUGCUCCCAACCAAACUGCCCCAAACACGGGGGACGAAAAUAGUACAACCGAAAUACACGACCAGGAACAAACACGUUCCUCUACUACAGAACCGAAGGUCACAAUAAUUAAUCCCGCACAAAGAAACAGGCGGGCCGGCUGUCUAAUAAAGCCCAACUAAUCAUUCACGAACAGGUGCUAACAAUAAACAUACAAGGAGAGGGAGGAAAGACAAUCAGUGGCAGCUAAGUCGAAGUCGACUCCCAACCACUACCUGUGAGAUUCAGUCUGACUAGUAGCAGCUUUGUCUUCUCUUCCCUAGCAGUUGAAACUCAAACAUUAAACAACAGCUUGUGAACAAAACAAUGUAAAUAGCCAAGAAACACAAGGACAAAGUCUCCCUCCAGUAGUCUUUAGUUUAAAGUAUUUCAUUCCUGUGCGCAGCGCUUUUAAAAAUGUAUCUUUCACUCAGAUCUUCAUGUGCGCACAACCCCCAGCCAGACAGUGUUGCAGCACAAGGCGGGAUAGGCUAUAUAGAAUUCGUAGUUCUUUGACUUUGCGAUUUAAUUUACCAGCUAUGGAACAAAACAGCAGAAAUACAGCUGCUGCGGUAUUUAUUUUACAAUAAAUGUGAUCAUGCUUGACUAUUUUUAUUUACAAGUAAGUGAAAUGCUGGAAUUACACAAUGUUAACCUCAGAUCACAAUGACAAGAUUGAUUGUUUUAAACAGAUCUGUCACGAGUUCCGCCGAAGUCGGUUCUUCUCCUUGUUCGGGCUGCGUUCGGUGGUCGACGUCACCGGUCUUCUAGCCAUCGCCAUUCCAUCUUUCAUUUUCCAUUUGUUUUGUUUUGUCUUGUUUUCCCACACACCUGGUUUACAUUUCCUCAUUGCUUGACGUGUAUAUAACCCUCGUUUCCCCCAUGUCUGUGUGUGGAAUUGUUUGUUGUAAAGUGUAUGUGCACUUCAGACUGGUUUGCGACGGGUUAUUUCAACCCACAUUUUGUUGUUCUGGGUGCUGUUGGUUUUUUCCUCCAUUAAACUGCUCCGGUUAUUACCCAGUUCUGCUCUCCUGCGCCUGACUUCACUGCAGCUCGUUUCGCAACUCUUUCAAGAUCAAUAUCUUAGGGUUUGAUUUUUUUCAAGCGCUGGGAUGCGCAGAACUUAGAACACGGAGUUAAUGAAAUGCCCAGGAAAUGGCACAGAAAAUUUGGGGCGGUCUCUCCGUAAAAGUCAAUGGCCACACACCAAUACAUGGAUUUGACAGUCAAAUUAUUACUUAAAUAGCAGUCAACUGUUGUUACUGUUGUUAUUCUAUAGAGGGUCGUGAUUCGUUUAGGUUAACUAACAAAAAAAGUGGUCUGGUCCCUUUUCCAUGAUCGAAGCCUCCCGAAAUCAACAUCCAAUAUUCCCAAAUAUAGAUAAAAGCCUUCAAGUACUCAUCUGACCAACUUCUUCAGGGCCAGCCAGGCCCCCUGUUGCCCCCCAGGCGCCCUGAAACCCAACCCCCAUAAGAAGAAGCCCAAAUACGACCUGCCCUUGCCCAGUAUACAUACAAGAUCACAGCCAUGUCAGGUGGGCGUCAGGCUUGUAAGAGACAUUAAUUAUCUGUGAGAUUCAGUGAACAAGGCUGAAAGGACUGGGUAUUGGCUCCUACUGGUUACUCUGCCUUCCACUGUGAUGGAGAAUGCCUCUACCCUCUGUUCCUGCAUGAACUCCACCACCCACACUAUGAUCCAACUAGUGGUCAGUAUGCACUACUACACCCUCACUCACAUGAAUGCUAACAUUACUGGUUUCAGUGGGAAAGAUGGUAAAUGGUUCAGACAUUAAUGGCAAAUAUAAAAAAACUAAGAUACCGAAGUUACCGGAGUCUACAAUGGCAGACUGUUAAUGUAGGGAUAGUGAGAAGUAACAUUCAAGACUGAAGCAAUUAUCCCCUCUAGUGGUAUACUUUAUACUGUACCAGGUUACUACACACACUGAUAAUACAAAACAUUGAGGACACCUGCUCUUUCCUUGAGACUGACCAAAUGAAAGCUAUGACCCCUUAUUGAUAUCACUUGUUGAAUCCACUUCAGUCAGAGUAGAUGAAGGGGAGUUAAAGAAAUAUUUUAAAACCUUGAGAGAAUUGAGACAUGGAUUGUGUGUGUCAUUCAGAGGGUGAUUCGGCAAGAGAAAAGAUUUAACUGUCUUUGAACGGGGUAUGUUAGUAGGUG